AUUGAACGCUGGCGGCAGGCUUAACACAUGCAAGUCGAGCGAGCGGCGGACGGGUGAGUAAUGUCUGGGAAACUGCCUGAUGGAGGGGGAUAACUACUGGAAACGGUAGCUAAUACCGCAUACCAUCAGAUGUGCCCAGAUGGGAUUAGCUAGUAGGUGGGGUAAUGGCUCACCGAGGCGACGAUCCCUAGCUGGUCUGAGAGGAUGACCAGCAAGACUGGAACUGAGACACGGUCGAGACACAGACGGGAGGCAGCAGUGGGGAAUAUUGCACAAUGGGCGCAAGCCUGAUGCAGCCAGGCCGCGUGUGAGAAGAAGGCCUUGGGGUUGUAAAGCACUUUCAGCGAGGAGGCGUUACUCGCAGAAGAAGCACCGGCUAACUCCGUGCCAGCGGCCGCGGUAAUUC
rnacentral:rRNA from 1 species